rnacentral:sRNA from 1 species
AAAGGGAAAGGGGGAAAGGGGGGAGGACAAAACGGAGAGAGAGAGGGAGAAAUGGACCUGAACUUAUUAUGCUGGAUGUAAGUGAUGGUGAACGAUCUGUAUGCUACCGUCACUGGGCAAUGUUCACUUCGGCUUCGAUCAGAAUUGAACAGAAUUCACAGCCAUUGGAACGGGAAAGGGAUAGCAGGAGGGACGCAGCUUUCCAAAUAGAAGAAGAAGAAGAAGAAUGAAAGAAAUACAUAUAUAAACCAAAACACAACGACAAAAUGCAAUCUAACGGGUUAGCAGGGCUUAGGCUUUGAUUUCAUUUCUUGUAUUGUCAGCCCAAGCAACAAAAGCGCAACGGGGAGAACAGCAAAAGAAAUAAACCAAAAUAAACAAGAGAAGCCCACGCGAUAUACUUGAAGGAGGCAGAGAGCCAGAAAGCAAGAUACCACCGCAUGAGAUGUGUGUGGAUUUAUAUAAAGACUGCGAAGCGCACGUCUGGAUUCGACCCAACAUAUCAACAGCGUUGAUAAUAUGCUUGUUUUGAAUUCUGAAGCCGAAGAAGAAGUAGAAAAAUGAAAUGAAAUGAAAUGAAAAGCAAAAAGUAGGGGAAUCUUUAUGGAGAACGGACGCCAAAAAUAAAAAGAAAGAAAAACGAACAUAUCAAAGCCAAAAAGAUCUAGCUACGCGUGAGUGGAAAUUCAGAUACAUAGUUACAUGCCAAAAAAUCAUCCCUUAUAUAUAAAAUCACACACAGUUCUGCCCAACUGGAAGGGGUAGGAAACAAUAGAGAACAAUCAAACAUGCGCCCACCCAUUAUACACGAUGACUUGCAUCUCAUCAAUCAAACACGGCAGCCAAAGCUCUCCUUUCUUCCCGCUCCUCCUCCUCCUCCCCCCCCGCUUCUUACCCUGGCUAGAAGAAGAAGAAGAAGAAGAAGUGGUAUCGUCAUCCUCCUCCUUCACCCAUGCCUUAAACCUCGCCUCGAUCGCCCUUGGCCGCCACGGCAAGUCCAGCAACGACGCAAGAAACCCUUUCCACCAGCCCAC